ACAUAAUUUUCUGUUAACUUUGUAACAAUUUGUAUUGUAAAAAGCGCUAUACAAAAACUUGAAUUGAAUUCACCAUAACUUUAUAGAUGCAGGUUCCAAGGAUGACGACUGUGAGGGACACAUCUUGGACGUGGGGAUCAGAAGAGGCUCCAGAAUCCUUGAGGUGUCCUUAUGGCGGGACCAGGCCUCGUCAAUGAUAAAGUUCACAUAUGUCACCUCCGAGCAAACGCCAAGGCUACUAAGUUAAACUCACCCAUCCACACAACUGUAGAGGUUCUGGAGCAAGGACCAGUGGUGGAGAACAUGGUGGUGAUUUGCUUGUUGAAGCUAAUGUUGAGCUCUUGUUGCUCGCUGAGGACUUCAGUGAAUACACAGCACUUCCUGAACUGACUGAUAAGAGUCUAGAAGAUCUUCUGUGCAGCUUCCACUUCAUUCAGAACUGCUGUGUGAUCCUGAUCCUCUUGAUAUCUUCUUGUGGAAAGAUGAAGCUCUCUGUGUCUUACACAUUAGAGAUGACGUAGAGAUCACCAACAUUUAUAGUGACAAAGGUGCCUCGAGGAAGAGGGAGU